UAUUUUCAAGAAAACAUAAUACUUUACAGUAUUACAGGAUUUAAAUUAUCCCUUAAAACAU
rnacentral:tRNA from 1 species